AGGGGAAUUUUGGACAAUGGGCGCAAGCCUGAUCCAGCCAUGCCGCGUGUCUGAAGAAGGCCUUCGGGUUGUAAAGGACUUUUGUCAGGGAAGAAAAGGGCGGGGUUAAUACCCCUGUCUGAUGACGGUACCUGAAGAAUAAGCACCGGCUAACUACGUGCCAGCAGCCGCGGUAAUACGUAGGGUGCGAGCGUUAAUCGGAAUUACUGGGCGUAAAGCGGGCGCAGACGGUUACUUAAGCAGGAUGUGAAAUCCCCGGGCUCAACCUGGGAACUGCGUUCUGAACUGGGUGACUAGAGUGUGUCAGAGGGAGGUAGAAUUCCACGUGUAGCAGUGAAAUGCGUAGAGAUGUGGAGGAAUACCGAUGGCGAAGGCAGCCUCCUGGGAUAACACUGACGUUCAUGCCCGAAAGCGUGGGUAGCAAACA
rnacentral:rRNA from 1 species